rnacentral:rRNA from 1 species
CAUCGAUGAAGAACGCAGCGAAAUGCGAUACGUAGUGUGAAUUGCAGAAUUCCGCGAAUCAUCGAGUCUUUGAACGCAAGUUGCGCCCGAGGCUUGUCCAAGGGCAUUUCCGCUAGAGCGUCACC